CACUCACAUUGGUGCGAAGGGUGAGGAAGUACUACGUUACUGAUCAUCUCACGAGAGAAUCAUGUCUGUGUGAAUUUUCACGAAUGAACAUCAUCCACAGAUAUUCAGUCGAUUGAACGGUACGAAACUGUGAGGAUAGUUUUACAAAAACUUGACAAUUUUCCUCAAUAAAAAAAGAAGAAGAUAGAAUUUGCAAAGUUAGCUUUCACUCUCUACUAAAGAAGAGGUCAGUGAUAAGGGUAAAGUAAUAAGGUGUAAAGGAAGAGUUUUUUCAGUGAUUAAAAAAAAAAGAUUUACAACAAAAGUUGCAUAUAAACGAUGGCAAAGGGAAAAGGUGGUGGAAAUAAGGACGAGAAAAAGAGUGGAGCAGCCGCAGCCGCCCCCAAAGCGGGUGGCGAUGCAAAGGCAGCUGAUGCUAAAGGUGGAAAAGGUGGCAAAAAAGGUGGCAAGAAGUGACAGUAAGGGUCGAUUUUCCUCAGCACCUAUGCAAUACAUUCUACCGAUGAUUGUGAAAAGAAAAUCAAUUUCUGAUUUUUUUCCUUGUCUGUGAAAAUGAUAUGUGUACACAUUGAUAAAUAUAACCCCCCAACCCCUCUCUCACCCCAAACCCAUUUCCCCCUCCCCCAACUUCCCAAUAUCACUAGUCGAUACGAAAUGUGGUCUAUAUACCUAUACUACAAAAAAAAUAUCGUGACUUCCAACCAAAACAUAUUCAACACAUAAAAUUGCAAUUUGAUCCCAAAAAUAACCAACACACUCUCUAUACUACCAAUUUCAAAAUGUGACUCAUUUUUUUUUGGAAUUAUGUACUUUUGAGAACAAUAUAAUUGUAAUAAUAAAAAUAAAUACAAACAGAGCUAUAACUCUAUAGAUAAAA